AGAGUUUGAUCAUGGCUCAGAACGAACGCUGGCGGCGCGUCUUAAGCAUGCAAGUCGGACGGCAAGGGUUGUGCUUGCACAACUCCUAGAGUGGCGGACUGGUGAGUAACGCGUGGGUGACCUACCCUCGAGAUGGGGAUAGCCAUUAGAAAUAGUGGAUAAUACCGAAUACGCUCUGGAUGCUCUGGCGACCAGAGGAAAUCAGGCUACGGCCUGGCUCGAGGAUGGGCCCGCGUCCCAUUAGCUAGUUGGUGAGGUAACGGCCCACCAAGGCGACGAUGGGUAUCCGGCCUGAGAGGGUGUACGGACACAUUGGGACUGAGAUACGGCCCAAACUCCUACGGGAGGCAGCAGCUAAGAAUAUUCCGCAAUGGACGAAAGUCUGACGGAGCGACGCCGCGUGGAUGAAGAAGGCCGAAAGGUUGUAAAAUCCUUUUGCUGAUGAAGAAUAAGUGUGGUAGGGAAUGACCGCAUGAUGACAUUAGUCGGUGAAUAAGCCCCGGCUAACUACGUGCCAGCAGCCGCGGUAACACGUAGGGGGCAAGCGUUGUUCGGAAUUAUUGGGCGUAAAGGGCAUGUAGGCGGUUUUGUAAGCCUGGUGUGAAAUCCUGCAGCUUAACUGUAGAAUUGCAUUGGGUACUGCAAGACUUGAAUCACAGAGGGGAAACUAGAAUUCCAGGUGUAGGGGUGGAAUCUGUAGAUAUCUGGAAGAAUACCGGUGGCGAAGGCGGGUUUCUAGCUGAUGAUUGACGCUGAGGUGCGAAAGUGCGGGGAGCAAACAGGAUUAGAUACCCUAGUAGUCC
rnacentral:rRNA from 1 species